CCUACGGGGGGCAGCAGUGAGGAAUAUUGGUCAAUGGACGAGAGUCUGAACCAGCCAAGCCGCGUGAAGGAUGACUGCCCUAUGGGUUGUAAACUUCUUUUAUAUGGGAAUAAAAUGUUCCACGCGUGGGAUUUUGUAUGUACCCUAUGAAUAAGCAUCGGCUAACUCCGUGCCAGCAGCCGCGGUAAUACGGGGGGUGCAAUCGUUGUCCGGAAUCAAUGGGCGUAAAGGGUUCGUAGGCGGCACGUAAAGUCUGGCGUUAAAGGCAGGGGCUCAACUUCUGUACGGCACUGGAAACUUGCGGGCUAGAAUGCGGGAGAGGUAAGGGGAAUUCCUGGUGUAGCGGUGAAAUGCAUAGAUAUCAGGAGGAACAUCGGUGGCGUAAGCGCUUUACUGGGCCGUAAUUGACGCUGAGGAACGAAAGCCAGGGUAGCAAAUGGGAUUAGAUACCCGGGUAGUC
rnacentral:rRNA from 1 species